AACUAAAUAUGUCUGAUAAUAUGAGAUCCAGCCAACUUUAAUACAUAUUUGUUUUGUACUUGACUGUGACGCCCACAGGCGUCGAAUGUUAUUUCAAUGAGGAAUACUGUGCUCCAACGUAUUGUUUUCUAUCGAAGGGACGUGGAAAAUCGAAAUACCUCAGCACUGGCUGUAACUUUAUUCAGCCAUUAGCGUCCGCAUUGAUCAGUGUUGAAAUUCUACGCAGAACCAAGGAGGGCACCUACACGAAUAUGAAUUUGAAAGUGGAAACGAGUCUAUGCAAAUUGGGUGACGUAAAAGGUGGAAAUGGAAUUAUCAAUAAUCUCAUGGGUUUGAGUAUGAAAAGCUUGAGCCGCUUGAAGUGUCCGUUACAGGGCAACGUUACCAUAACAAGAAUGCCGCUGAUGAUUUUUCUUGUGCAGGGCCUGCUUCCCGAUGCGGAUUAUAAAUUAUUUGCCAAAGUUUUCAGGGGCGUUGAAUCAAUAUUACAAUUGAAUCUCUCUGUUAAGGUUACUUCAGCCAAGCGUUGAA